rnacentral:rRNA from 1 species
GCUUACGGCCACGACGCCUGGUUCACGCCCGAUCUCGUUUGAUCUCGGAAGCUAAGAUAGGUUGGGCCUGGUUAGUACUUGAAAAGGAGACCGCCUGGGAAUACCAGGUGCUGUAAGCA